GCCAGAAAUAAGGAGUCACCACCACCACCACCACCACCACCACCACCACCACCACCACUCACCUGCCAGUACCCCCGCCGUCAGCGCCCCCAGCAUCAUGGCGGCGACCUGCAACACCAACGGCAGCUGCAGCAUCGUGGUGGUGGUGUAGGCCUGGUCCUCCCUGCAAAGAUAAAGGAAACAAAAAGAAUAUCUGGUAACCGCGGAGAACUGGACGAAAAGAAAACGGAGGAGGAAGCACCGAAGCGAGAAGAGAAGGCGAGGGGCACUGAGGCCGCCUGUUCACUUGACUGGGAUUCGCGGGGAGAGAAGGACGGCGUAGAACACAACAGACCCCUUUAUCACCACUUCGCAGUACUCUUCCUGCUGCUGGGUGAGGUGACAUUGCCCUGUGGUGAGGUAGACUUUUUGAAAUGACGGCAGAAGUGAAAACGGUUUUACCAGAAUGACAAUAUCAACUGGAGCGUACAAGUGACAGCAGCACAGGGACGAAACGAGCGCUAAUUAAACACAAACCUCAGCAACAAUUGAAAUCAUCAUCAUCAAUACCAGCUGUUAACGAAGGAGGAACAUUGAGAGCCAGACUAGGAGGAAGAGGUCAGAGAAGAGACGAAGACCGAGAACGCCUGACACUGCGACUGCCCAGCGUGUGGCGGUCUGGCAGGCGGAUGCAGAGACGACAAAGUUGCAGUGACAGCUUCUGGUGGUCCUGACAUCACUGAAGUACGAAGCCUACGAACAAAUCCCCACUACUACUGCCACACUGUAAUGGGACGUCAGCUGGAGACACCGGCCCCCCCUCCUCGCUGUGAGGGGAAAGCAGAAAUUAUCAAAUCCCACCUAGCAAUUGAGAGACCACAAAUGAAUCUUUAUGCAGGCUGGACCGAGAAUCCAGCCUGCAUAGAGAAUAAGUACAUGCCAGCUGAGAGACUUGAGAUAAAUGUGUAAGGAAUAAACGAGAAAAAAAAUUUGUAAGAAAUUAAUAAAAUAAACCAACGAUAAAUGUGUAAAAA